rnacentral:rRNA from 1 species
CCUACGGGUGGCAGCAGUGAGGAAUAUUGGUCAAUGGGCGUAAGCCUGAACCAGCCAAGUCGCGUGAGGGAUGAAGGCUCUCUGGAUCGUAACCCUCUUUUAUAAGGGAAUAAAGUGCGCGACGUGUCCCGUUUUGUAUGUACCUUAUGACUAAGGAUCGGCUAACUCCGUGCCAGCAGCAGCGGUAAUACGGAGGUUCCGAGCGUUAUCCGGAUUUAUUGGGUUUAAAGGGUGCGUAGGCGGCCUUUUAAGUCAGCGGUGAAAGUCCGGGGCUCAACCGUAGAAGUGCCGUUGAAACUGGUAGGCUGGAGUAUGGUUGAGGCAGGCGGAAUGCGUGGUGUAGCGGUGAAAUGCUUAGAUAUCACGCAGAACCCCGAUUGCGAAGGCAGCCUGCCAAGCCAUGACUGACGCUGAUGCACGAAAGCGUGGGGAUCAAACAGGAUUAGAUACCCGAGUAGUC